rnacentral:rRNA from 1 species
CUACGGGUCGCUCCAGUGAGGAAUUUUGCGCAAUGGGGGAAACCCUGACGCAGCAACGCCGCGUGAGUGAAGAAGGCUUUCGGGUCGUAAAGCUCUGUCAGAUAGGAAAAAAGUUCAUAUGUAAAUAGCUUAUGAAUCUGAUGGUACUAUCAGAGGAAGCACCGGCGAACUCCGUGCCAGCAGCCGCGGUAAUACGGAGGGUGCAAGCGUUGUUCGGAAUUACUGGGCGUAAAGGGCGUGUAGGCGGUAUGGUAAGUCAGAUGUGAAAGCCCUGGGCUUAACUCAGGAAGUGCAUUUGAUACUGCCAUCCUUGAGUAUGGGAGAGGAGAGUAGAAUUCCCAGUGUAGAGGUGAAAUUCGUAGAUAUUGGGAGGAAUACCCGUGGCGAAGGCGACUCUCUGGACCAAUACUGACGCUGAGACGCGAAAGCGUGGGGAGCAAACAGGAUUAGAUACCCGAGUAGUC